rnacentral:sRNA from 1 species
CCUCCGAGAGGCUCGGCGUUGAGCCCGGGUAGGGCCAGGUGGCUGCCCUUUCACCUAGGGUAGACCCUGGCCGCCUCCGCUCUUCGCCCGAAAGGGAAUGCAGCUCUGGGAAACAAGUGAAUUCGUGGUAUUUUACUUUUUUGGGAAAUAUUGGAAAUGAAGAACUGCAACUGUAAUUUCAAAUAAGGAAAACUUUAAUUUUCAGUAUAAAAAUUGCUCAAAUAGAAUUGCCUAAUUUUAAUGACAAAAGAUAUUGGAAGGCUCCCUCUGAAGCGACACUUUGGAAGAUUGAAAAUGGAAGCCCUGACUGACAGGGAACAUGGAAUGAUAGACCCUGACAGCGGAGAUGAAGCCCAGCUUAAUGGAGGACAUUCUGCAGAGGAAUCUCUGGGUGAACCCACUCAAGCCACUGCGCUGGAAACCUGGUCUCUUCCUUUGAGUCAGAAUAGUGCCAGUGAACUGCCUGCUAGCCAGCCCCAGCCCUUUUCAGCCCAAGGAGACAUGGAAGAAAACAUAAUAAUAGAAGACUAUGAGAGUGAUGGGACAUAGAAGCCAGCCUGCUAUUCAGAUUGCUACUUCACAGCUUCAUUUUUGUUUCAUUCAGUGGUACUUCAGCAGAGUUAAUAUGCUUUUCUGAUGAAUUACACAACAGUUUGUUAAUUCUUCCUUCUUGUAGUAUUUCAUCACAAGAAACCUCUUCUGUCAUCUUGAAGUAAAUAGAAGAUCAAGCCUUCAAAUCUCUUAAUU